rnacentral:rRNA from 1 species
CUCCGGUCUAAGUUCCUUGGAACAGGACGUCACAGAGGGUGAGAAUCCCGUACGUGACCGGCCGCCACGCCCGUGUGAAGCUCCUUCGACGAGUCGAGUUGUUUGGGAAUGCAGCUCAAAAUGGGUGGUAAAUUUCAUCUAAAGCUAAAUAUUGGCCAGAGACCGAUAGCGCACAAGUAGAGUGAUCGAAAGAUGAAAAGCACUUUGGAAAGAGAGUCAAACAGUACGUGAAAUUGUUGAAAGGGAAGCGCUUGCAACCAGACUUGCCCGCGGGUGAUCAGCCGGUAUUUUUACCGGUGCACUCGCCCGUGGUCAGGCCAGCAUCGGUUCGGGCGGUCGGACAAAGUCCCCCGGAAUGUGACUCCUUUCGAGGAGUGUUAUAGCCGGGGGUGCAAUGCGACCCGCCCGGACCGAGGACCGCGCUUCGGCUAGGAUGCUGGCGUAAUGGUUGUAAGCGACCCGUCUUGAAACACGGACCAAGGAGUCUAACAUCUAUGCGAGUGUUUGGGUGUCAAACCCAUGCGCGUAAUGAAAGUGAACGGAGGUGGGAACCCUUAAGGGUGCACCAUCGACCGAUCCUGAUGUCUUCGGAUGGAUUUGAGUAAGAGCAUAGCUGUUGGGACCCGAAAGAUGGUGAACUAUGCCUGAAUAGGGUGAAGCCAGAGGAAACUCUGGUGGAGGCUCGCAGCGGUUCUGACGUGCAAAUCGAUCGUCAAAUUUGGGUAUA